rnacentral:tRNA from 1 species
GGAGGCAUGGCUCAGGGCCAGAGUGCCUGCCUGCCAAGCAUGAGGCCCAAGUUCAAAGCCAUAGUGUUUCCA